UAAGAGAUGUGUCCCAGGGCUGACGCAAUACAAAUUUCAAGGCUGUGGAACCAGGAGAAGGUCUGAGGAACGGAGCUCCCGGAAGUAAAGGCAUUGCCUCACAUUUGAGAGUAGUUCAACUUUCACUUCCUUUUCAAGGCAUGAGGAGAAGUAAGGAAGAUUCUAUCACACUCUUGCUGUCAAUGGUUACAAGCCAUAGCUCAGGACACCUGGCAACAGUACUUAAGGAAGGAAAGGUUUGCACUGGCCCGCAGUCUGAAGGAGGACAGAGGACACAAGGCAAUGAGAGCAGCUCUAGGUGUAGCCGUGGGAGCCCGAUAUAGCUGGACGCGCUGCAUCUGAAGCAUGACUUCAGGAUUUGUGGUCAGAAGCACGAGGUGGAGAAGUCCUGAUACAAUCUUUGUACUGUACGGUUGCCGUCUGGACUUCAUUGACUAUCCCGGAGCGAUCCAGCACAAGUGACAAGUGAAGACCUUGGCUGUGUUUCAGAAGCACAAUUACAACUCUUGGGGUAAAGAGCCUCAGCGACAAGGCCCAGGAAAGCAGGUGUAUUGAGAAUUAGAGAGACUCGGAGCGGGCCCCAGAGGAGAGGUAGGGAGUGGUCCUGGCAGCUGUUGGAUGAAGCAGGUUGGAAGGGCCUUGAGAGCAGAGGUCUGUUGUUUAACAUCAUCUUCGAGUGUACCCUAGCACGGCGGUCUCGGCUGG
rnacentral:lncRNA from 1 species